rnacentral:rRNA from 1 species
AGAAUCAACGCUGGCGGCGUGCCUAACACAUGCAAGUCGCACGAGAAAGGGGAGCAAUCCCUGAGUACAGUGGCGCACGGGUGAGUAACACGUGAAUCAUCUACCUCCGAGUGGGGAAUAACUGAGAGAAAUCUUAGCUAAUACCGCAUAACACUUACGAGUCAAAGCAGCAAUGCGCUUGGAGAGGAGUUCGCGGCAGAUUAGUUAGUUGGCGGGGUAAUGGCCCACCAAGACGAUGAUCUGUAUCCGGCCUGAGAGGGCGCACGGACACACUGGAACUGAAACACGGUCCAGACUCCUACGGGAGGCAGCAGUGGGGAAUUUUGCGCAAUGGGGGAAACCCUGACGCAGCAACGCCGCGUGGAGGAUGAAGCCCCUUGGGGUGUAAACUCCUUUCGAUCGGGAAGAUAAUGACGGUACCGAUAUAAGAAGCCCCGGCUAACUUCGUGCCAGCAGCCGC